rnacentral:ncRNA from 1 species
AGAUGUGCUCGUAGAGUAACGAGCAGGGGUAAACAAAAGAAAUGCUCAUUAAGA